rnacentral:rRNA from 1 species
CCUACGGGAGGCAGCAGUGAGGAAUAUUGGUCAAUGGGCGGGAGCCUGAACCAGCCAAGUCGCGUGAGGGACGACGGUCCUAUGGAUUGUAAACCUCUUUUGUCGGGGAACAAAGGCGCCCACGGGUGGGCGGAUGAGUGUACCCGAAGAAAAAGCAUCGGCUAACUCCGUGCCAGCAGCCGCGGUAAUACGGAGGAUGCGAGCGUUAUCCGGAUUUACUGGGUGUAAAGGGAGCGUAGACGGUUAUGUAAGUCUGGAGUGAAAGCCCGGGGCCCAACCCCGGGACUGCUUUGGAAACUGUGUAACUGGAGUACAGGAGGGGCAGGCGGAAUUCCUGGUGUAGCGGUGAAAUGCGUAGAUAUCAGGAGGAACACCGGCGGCGAAGGCGGCCUGCUGGACUGAAACUGACGUUGAGGCUCGAAAGCGUGGGGAGCAAACAGGAUUAGAUACCCUGGUAGUC